AGCCCGCGAAGUUGAAUCAACACAAGCUGCAAACUUGGAGAAGCUCCCCAAUUGGGAGCCGGGGCUU
rnacentral:tRNA from 1 species